AACGUAGGGGACAAGCGUUAUCCGGAUUUACUGGGCGUAAAGCGCCCGUAGGCGGCUAGAUAAGUUGGACGUGAAAGCUCCCGGCUUAACUGGGAGAGGCCGUUCAAAACUGUCGAGCUAGAGUGAGGAAGAGGAGAGCGGAAUUCCCGGUGUAGUGGUGGAAUGCGUAGAGAUCGGGAGGAACACCAGUGGCGAAAGCGGCUCUCUGGUCCUAAACUGACGCUGAGGGGCGAAAGCGUGGGGAGCGAACGGG
rnacentral:rRNA from 1 species